GAUGAAGAACGUAGCGAAAUGCGAUACUUGGUGUGAAUUGCAGAAUCCCGUGAACCAUCGAGUCUUUGAACGCAAGUUGCGCCCGAAGCCAUCAGGUUGAGGGCACGUCUGCCUGGGCGUCACUUAUCGUUGCCCAAUGCCUAUUGCAGUGCAAUAGGAAUUUCUAGGGCGAAUGAUGGCUUCCCGUGAGCGUUGCUGCCUCGCGGUUGGUUGAAAAUCGAGUCCUUGGUAGGGUGUGCCAUGGUAGAUGGUGGUCGAGUUAGAACGAUACCGAUCAUGUGCAUGCUCCCCAAAAUAUGGCCUCUAUGACCCACACGCGUCUUUUGACGCUCAUGACGAGACCUCAGGUCAGGCGGGGCUACCCGCUGAAUUUAAGCAUAUCAAUAAGCGGAGGA
rnacentral:misc_RNA from 1 species